rnacentral:rRNA from 1 species
CCCGCCUAAUACAUGCUCGUCGAUCGGACAGAAGGGAGCUUGCAUCCCGGAUAGUUAGCGGCGGACGGGUGAGUAACACGUGGGUAACCUGCCUGUAAGACUGGGAUAACUCCGGGAAACCGGAGCUAAUACCGGAUAGUUCCUUGAACCGCAUGGUUCAAGGAUGAAAGACGGUUUCGGCUGUCACUUAAAUAUGGACCCGCG